rnacentral:rRNA from 1 species
GUGUACCUACGGGGGGCAGCAGUGGGGGAUAUUGCACAAUGGGGGGAACCCUGAUGCAGCGACGCCGCGUGGGCGAUGGAGCGCCUCGGCGCGUAAAGCCCUAUCAGCAGGGAAGAAGAUGACGGUACCUGACUAAGAAGCCCCGGCUAAAUACGUGCCAGCAGCCGCGGUAAUACGUAUGGGGCCAGCGUUAUCCGGAUUUAUUGGGUUUAAAGGGUGCGCAGGCGGACCAUCAAGUCAGCGGUAAAAUCGUGGGGCCCAACCCCAUCCCGCCGUUGAAACUGGCGGUCUUUAGUGAG